rnacentral:rRNA from 1 species
AUUGAACGCUGGCGGCAUGCCUUACACACGCAAGUCGAACGGCAGCAUGAUCUAGCUUGCUAGAUUGAUGGCGAGUGGCGAACGGGUGAGUAAUACAUCGGAACGUGCCCUGUAGUGGGGGAUAACUAGUCGAAAGAUUAGCUAAUACCGCAUACGACCUGAGGGUGAAAGUGGGGGACCGCAAGGCCUCAUGCUAUAGGAGCGGCCGAUGUCUGAUUAGCUAGUUGGUGAGGUAAAGGAUCACCAAGGCGACGAUCAGUAGCUGGUCUGAGAGGACGAUCAGCCACACUGGGACUGAGACACGGCCCAGAAGCCUACGGGAGGCAGCAGUGGGGAAUUUUGGACAAUGGGGGCAACCCUGAUCCAGCAAUGCCGCGUGUGUGAAGAAGGCCUUCGGGUUGUAAGCACUUUUGUCCGGAAAGAAAUCGCACUUACUAAUAUUAGGUGUGGAUGACGGUACCGGAAGAAUAAGGACCGGCUAACUACGUGCCAGCAGCCGCCGUAAUAC